UUCCGCACCGUCGAUGACAAGCAGAAGUUUGCGUGAACUUCUUGUAAGUUGUACUUGUAAAUCAGAGAGUUACGAUAUCAUAACGAUAUCAGUUUCCAUGAUGUAUCCUGUAGUACAUUUGUGUUUGUAUGGCUGUGACGGUCGGUUUAAUGAAGUCGAGCAAAAUUGUCUGAAAUCCACAAUUCUGGAAUUUGAAGAAGACAACACGAUCAUCAAGCUCCAUGCACGUGGCCACACUGCCGCUGCAUGCUGCAACCUGCUGCAUAUUUUGGAUGGAGGGACAAACUACAGAUAGCCACACAAGGCUGCGUCUAGACGAACUCGGUGCUUUGAAAGCCUAACACCUUUUGGGAUCAUCAUGACUGGCUUGAGCAUCUGGAACGUGCUGCAUCCUAUCAAGAGCAUUCUCUUGGAACUUUAGGGUACUGCUUGAGUCUGGCAUGUUACUGUGCAGGAACAUCUAUGUACUGGCACUCAAACUCACACAGGAAAAGAUCAUGUAAGCUUCAUAGCAAUGGUGGUUUCCCUUGAUUGUCUACCUACUACAUGUAUGCCAGGACUGGUCCUGUUGUGAGGAAAUGAUGUUAUUUCAUAACUGCGCAGGUUUGGUACAGAUUACAUGCUCUCAGUUCAUUCCUAGUGUUCUUAAGAUCCUUGCUUCAAAGCAGACAAAUUUCUGUUUCCACGGGCGUGGAAAAUCCCAAGUGCUGUGUUCCACACACUAUCCGUGACGUGGCAGUUCGUCUGGAGCUGAACCAUUCUCAGCAAGGAUCCAUACACUUGAGGUUGCUCCUUUAGCACAAGCAUCUUCCUUAAGCCAUAGGUGCUUGUCUUCCAACCACAUGCAACUACAGCACCUCCAUCAGGCUUUUGGGGACCAGGAGCUGGGUCAUUCACUUUACCUUGAUAUUGUCAUCUUUGACAAUCCACCCAUGAUGUGGUGAUGGAGGUUCAGUGAUGGCUACAAUGGUUCUUCUACCAAUAACUGUCUGGUGAUACAGGUGGCCGGCAAAAUUGUCGACUUCUGAAGUAAGUUGGUACUCUCACUUCUUAAGAAGUGUAGCCUUUUUGCAGGUGGCUUCCUUGGAGUAGCAUCUUGAUUCUUUGCCCUCUGCAGUGCCCCAUGCGUUUAAGCCCUCAGGAGGAGGAGGACAUUGAAUUACAAUGUAUUCCAUUAACAGCAUACUGUUGAAUGUUUUAAAAUCAGAGACUUUAUCAGGAAAUGUCCCUGCAAUCUUGGGAAAAAGUUUGGGUUGUUGUGUCAUAUUGUCAGCUCUUAACAGUGAACAAAAGUGGACCUGUAAAAAAGAUAGACCUGUAAACA
rnacentral:lncRNA from 1 species